UGUCUCGGCUCUCGCAUCGAUGAAGAACGUAGCGAAAUGCGAUACUUGGUGAUCCACUUUUGGAAAGUUCAUUAUUUAACUUAUUUUUUUUAGUGAUUAAUAUAAAUGAAUGAUA
rfam:Nicotiana attenuata strain TT chromosome 8, whole genome shotgun sequence.